UUAAUAGGCUGCUGCGACUCAUUGUG
rnacentral:piRNA from 1 species